rnacentral:rRNA from 1 species
ACCUGCCGAGGGAUCAUUGAAACCGAUCAAUCCAACCACAGAGCACCUGCGGACGCGCCAGCCCCUCCUCUCGGGGUGGUGCCGUCCGCCGUUUACAGGAUCCGCCGGCUGUGGGGCCCCGCGGCCCCCGCCGGUCGGAGCCCAACCCAUCAAACCCUCUGCCCUGAAGCAGCUUCGCAAGGGGACACCCCUGCGACGUAACAGAGACAACUCUCAACAACGGAUAUCUUGGCUCUCGCAACGAUGAAGAACGCAGCGAAAUGCGAUACGUAGUGUGAAUUGCAGAAUUCCGUGAGUCAUCGAAUCUUUGAACGCACAUUGCCGGUCGACUCUUCGGAGGAGACCACAUCUGCCUCAGCGUCGGAAUACCCCCUCACGCGAUCCCGCGUGGACCUGGCCCCCCCGGACCUCGCCCCGUGCGAGCCGGGCCGGCUGAAAUACAGAGGCCCGUGCGCGGCCCAUUCGUGGCCCCGACUAGGUAGGUAGCUCGCUACUGCUAGGCGGAGGCUCGGCGUCGCGUGCUCUGGGCCCCAAAGGAUACCCAUCCAUUCAUUCGACCUGAGUUCAGGUGAGGCUACCCGCUGAACUUAAGCAUAU